GGACGUGGCCGUGCCGCCUCGAAUCAGGGCUCACACUGCAGAAGGCUGUACCCGAGAGAGAAAACUUUUCGAGGAGCUCUCAGCUGCUGUAUCGCACAAAACACACACCAGACCCGGUUUCCUUAUUCAAGCAAAAGUAGAAUUUCCCGGUGCUUUGGCAGUUGAGCAGCAGAGGACGCUGAGCGGUGCAAAUGCCCGUCAGGUGAACAAAGUAUCUGACAACAGAGGUAUGACCUGUGUCAAAACCAUAAAUGCUGUCUAAAAGUCACAAUAUCCUGGAUUUCUUAUGCUGUGCUUCGUCAUAGCAACAUGAGAGUGAUUCUUCUGACCACCAAGGGAAAUAAUUUAUAACCUCGAAAGCGAUUUUGCAAAUGCUGGGUUCAUCUCCAUUUUUGCUAUCUGGUACCUACUCUGUGUGCUUCAAAUGAAAAACAGAGGUGACCAUCUCCAUGUCCACGAUAGUAGAGGGGUGUGGAGCUGCUUUGAAAUGCUUCUUCUGUGGCCUGUCCUCUGUGUCAUUAUGGCAGUGACUUUUACCUAAAAGCUUUAAUAAGAGCUUGAUGAGAAAGCUAUGCUCUGAAGAGCCACAUGGUUAAACAGCUCUGGACAGAUGAGGAAGGUUCUUGAAGGAGGUUUAUACUGCAAUUUGCAGUGCUUGCAUGCUAGGAAUUAUUUUUUUUUGUGUGUGUGUAUUACUGCUGGCAGAAUUAUAUUAAUAGAAAGUCCAGGAAUGAAAGAAAUCAGCAAGAAAAUGAGAAUUUGCACAUACUUGGCUUAAGUGUCCACCAGAGAUAUAAAGAGAUCAGGGUCCACUGUGAAGUGUUCAUUGAAUGACUUAAAGAUUUGAAAAUGUGUAGGAACUGUGGUGAUGGCUUCCU